GGCAAGUUGCCCGAGCGGCCAAAGGGAGCUGACUGUAAAUCAGCCGCGUAAGCUUCACAGGUUCGAAUCCUGUACUUGCCA
rnacentral:tRNA from 1 species